rnacentral:rRNA from 1 species
UACGUAGGGGGCAAGCGUUGUCCGGAUUUAUUGGGCGUAAAGAGCGUGUAGGCGGCCAGGUAGGUCAGCUGUGAAAACUCGAGGCUCAACCUCGAGACGCCGGUUGAAACCAUCUGGCUAGAGUCCGGAAGAGGAGAGUGGAAUUCCUGGUGUAGCGGUGAAAUGCGCAGAUAUCAGGAAGAACGCCCGUGGCGAAGGCGGCUCUCUAGUACGGUACUGACGCUGAGACGCGAAGCGUGGGGAGCGAACAGG